ensembl:lncRNA
CUCCCGACCGGGGGCUGGGAGCAGCCCUCCCGGCCCAGGGGGUCGUUGGGCUUGGCGCCCCAAGCCCGCGGAAGAGGGCGGGGAAGAGGGAGGAGGCGGGCUCUGCCCCAGGGGCGGGGGCUUCCUGGGGGAGGUGGCACCUUUGGCCGCAGCCCCGGUGGGGAGGAGAGAGGGGCUCGGGCUGUCGGAGCGCGUCCCGCCCGAGGAGCGGUGUCCAUCUCAUGGACUCAGCAGCCCGGGAGGUCGCGCCACGGCCCCUUUCCCCUCCACGAGGAAGUUCCCCUCCCCACGAGCCCCGGAGCUGGGGGGCAGAUCCACCCCGCUUGCUGGGGCUGGAACUGAGGUUCUGGGUGAAUAAUGGACGCUGCACAAACAGGAGACUCCGCUCCUCUAAGGACGAGCUGUCUGGACCCUCUGGACCGGGGAGUGGUGUUAUUUUGAAGCAGGGCUUGUGGACUGGCAUGGAUCAUGAGGAACAUCAUUGCUUUAUGAACCUCUCGGAAAGAAAAAGGGCUGCCUGUGAACCCAGGAGCCGGUGCCUGCGGGCACAGCCGGUGCCUGCGGGUACAGCCCGAGUUUACAUUCGCCGGGUGCUCUCCGGACCUCUCUGACGCGGGUCUGCACAGCGCGUGCUUGUGCAAGCGGAAAAAGAGAGGAGACGGACGGACGGGCUCAGGAGGCCCUGGGGUCCUCGUGCCAGGAAGGGCGCUCCCGACCACUUCCCACCCUGAGCCUUCAGGCCCCUGUUUUCCGCACGGAAUGGUCCCGGGUCCCCGUGAGGGUGGACAACGCUGUGCUCUGGAGAAGAUUCACCCCUGCUGUGCCCAGCUUGACGCUGGUGCUUCUGGAAAGGUGGCAGACGCUUUCCAGAAACCAUCUGGGACAGCGGUCAGACGGCGGCCCGGACUUGGGCUCCUUCCUCAGAUGGCCGUCCUGAGCUUAGUCCCCCGACGGCCAGGCUUUGCCUCGCUGCCUCCCUGAUGGAAUGGGACGCUCCCCGGGGACCCCAGCUGUCCCGUGUCCCGCCCUGCCCCCCUUCCUUGGACACACACUGAGGUGGUUCUGCGUGGACCCCUGCAGGUGGCACAGCCUCGUGGUGAAGGGAUGUCCCCACCAACACCGCCCUGUGAGCGGCCUCUGACCCUCUGGCCACACCCGCGUUCCUGGGGCUCCUCAGGGUCCCUGAGUCACUCGCCUGACUCACAGAGCCCAGAAUGCUCUCUGCUCAGUGACGGUUUUAUCAUAAAGGAUGCAGACCAGGACCAGCCGAACGAGGAGACGCCUGGGUGAGCCCCGAGCUGCUAGGCUGGCCCCUCGUGGCUCAGGACGGCCCCCUCCUGGCCCAGCCCUGCAUCCUGCCCGGAAGCCCACCGGAGCAAUUAUCACGUGGCCUGACGGCCAGAUCUGGGCCACGCAGCUGAGUUAGGCUCCAGCCCCCUCCCUCCCCUCCACGCUUGAUCUGUCUGGUGUCGAGCCCCCCACCCCCUCCAAAGCCACUCAUCAGCAUGAGCUCAGGUGCGGCGCUGGGUCUGGGGUCUGGGGAGUACAGAGCACCACCCCCAGGGCUCCAGGAAGGAGCUCUUUGAUUCCCCGUCCCCCUAGCCUGGCCCC